CCUACGGGGGGCAGCAGUAAGGAAUAUUGGGCAAUGGACGGAAGUCUGACCCAGCCAUCCCGCGUGCAGGAAGAAUGCCCUAUGGGUUGUAAACUGCUUUUGUUUGGGAAGAAAUGUAUUUUUUCAAGAGUAUUUGACGGUACCAGACGAAUAAGCACCGGCUAACUCCGUGCCAGCAGCCGCGGUAAUACGGAGGGUGCAAGCGUUAUCCGGAAUCACUGGGUUUAAAGGGUGCGUAGGCGGCCAGAUAAGUCAGAGGUGAAAGUUUCCGGCUCAACCG
rnacentral:rRNA from 1 species